rnacentral:rRNA from 1 species
ACUGGCCUACGGGGCGCAGCAGUGGGGAAUAUUGGGCAAUGGGCGCAAGCCUGACCCAGCAACGCCGCGUGAAGGAAGAAGGCUCUCGGGUUGUAAACUUCUUUUAUCAGGGACGAAGCAAGUGACGGUACCUGAUGAAUAAGCCACGGCUAACUACGUGCCAGCAGCCGCGGUAAUACGUAGGUGGCAAGCGUUAUCCGGAUUUACUGGGUGUAAAGGGCGUGUAGGCGGGAAAGCAAGUCAGAUGUGAAAACCAUG